GUGACACUCCAGAGAUGAAGUGCUCUCCGGGCUUUGUGACUGUGGUACUCUUAAUGCUUGGACAAACCCGUGGAGACUCAGUGACUCAGACGGAAGACCAAGUGACCCUCUCAGAAAAUGCUUUCCUGACUAUGAAUUGUACUUAUUCAGCUUCACGGUACCCUGCCCUUUUCUGUAUAUGUGCUGCCAGAGUGAGCCCUACCUGUCAUAUUUUCAUCAGGUUCUUCUCACAGUGCUGAGCCCUGAAGUUGAAGAGGAUGAAGACAUUUUCCUUCUAGUGGUAGAAC